UUACUGGGCGUAAAGCGAGCGCAGACGGUUACUUAAGCAGGAUGUGAAAUCCCCGGGCUCAACCUGGGAACUGCGUUCUGAACUGGGUGACUAGAGUGUGUCAGAGGGAGGUAGAAUUCCACGUGUAGCAGUGAAAUGCGUAGAGAUGUGGAGGAAUACCGAUGGCGAAGGCAGCCUCCUGGGAUAACACUGACGUUCAUGCUCGAAAGCGUGGGUAGCAAACAGGAUUAGAUACCCUGGUAGUCCACGCCCUAAACGAUGUCAAUUAGCUGUUGGGCAACUUGAUUGCUUAGUAGCGUAGCUAACGCGUGGAAUUGACCGCCUGGGGAGUACGGUCGCAAGAUUAAAACUCAAAGGAAUUGACGGGGACCCGCACAAGCGGUGGAUGAUGUGGAUUAAUUCGAUGCAACGCGAAGAACCUUACCUGGUCUUGACAUGUACGGAAUCCUCCAGAGACGGAGGAGUGCCUUCGGGAACCGUAACACAGGUGCUGCAUGGCUGUCGUCAGCUCGUGUCGUGA
rnacentral:rRNA from 1 species